UACGUAGGUGGCAAGCGUUGUCCGGAUUUACUGGGCGUAAAGAGCGCGCAGGCGGUCGUUCAAGUCGCGUGUGAAAGCCCCCGGCUCAACUGGGGAGGGUCACGCGAUACUGAUCGACUCGAAGGCAGGAGAGGGUAGUGGAAUUCCCGGUGUAGUGGUGAAAUGCGCAGAUAUCGGGAAGACCCCCUAUGGCGAAGGCAGCUCUCUGGGACGGUACUGACGCUGAGACGCGAAAGCGUGGGGAGCAAACAGG
rnacentral:rRNA from 1 species